rnacentral:rRNA from 1 species
UUUGGCGGUCAUAGCAUUGGGGUUUAUACCUGGUCUCGUUUCGAUCCCAGUAGUUAAGUCUAAUGGCGUUUUGUUUGUGUACUAUGGAUUUUGUUCUAUGGGAAUUUCAUUUUGCUGCCAGCC